UGCAAAUGGAAAUUUGCAGGAUUAGAAA
rnacentral:piRNA from 1 species